GACACUGACAGUCCGCCUCCAGUGUGACUCGUUUGUCCAGAUGAUACUUCCAGACUCUGUUCAUCAUCUGCUGAAAAGAUGGCGACCCAAGCCAGUGUGGUCCCCGGAGCCCCAUGGCAAAUUCCGUGUUGUCUGCUGGCACGUCUGCCCGUGGACUCACAGACUCAGGCCCAUAAAGUAGAGACAUGCAUGAGAUAUCAGUUGAACACAGGACACAAAGAAGACAGAAGGAUGUGAGUGGUGACAGUGACCCAACCAGUGACUCUCUGACUCUUGAGCUGCAACGUACAGGACAGAGCUGGACACCAGCAGGGCAGCCCGGACACAGCGUCCCAGGCGGUGGCUCAGCAAGGGGCUGCUCCGAGGGACCCGCCCCAGUCCAUGUGCUCUGUCAGCUGUCCCAUGGCCCACACAGCUCCACCCUAACUGACUCUGGAGACCUCCCAGCCCAGGCCACACGGUAAAGACUGUGUCCCGCUGGAUAGACCGCACCCCCCACUCCGCUCUGGCCUCUUGCAGAUCCGGGACCCGCCGAACCAGGGCCCCCCUCCCUGCGGCCACCACAACCUCCCACAUCAGUCAGAUGUUCGUUCCUGGUCUUCACACAGCCUCAGCCCAUACGCAUCUCCUAUUAAAAGUCUUUCCCUCCACCUGGUUGCUAAAGGAAGGAUCAGGAAAGUCACUACUGAAUCUUUCUGCUCCUCCCUGUGCCUUGUGGGAGCUGUUAGUAAUGCCUCCACAGUCCCCCCACCAACACA